UCACUAUGUCCUCGGGGUCCAGUUUUCCCAGGAAUCCCUUAGAAGAUAAGAAGGGGAUUCCUGGAAAUACUGUUCUUGGGGUCAUGGCU
rnacentral:pre_miRNA from 11 species